rnacentral:rRNA from 1 species
GGGUUGCUGAUGGAGGCAUUUACGMUCCACUGUGUACAGCGUAGACAGAUGAUACAUCCUGCGCGUCUAUAUACCAGGAGAUCAUGCACGGUAACUCUGUAAGAAUAAGCACCGGCUAACUCCGUGCCAGCAGCCGCGGUAAU